rnacentral:rRNA from 1 species
UACGUAGGGGGCGAGCGUCGUCCGGAUUCAUUGGGCGUAAAGAGCUCGUAGGCGGCUUGCUAAGUCGAGUGUGAAACCUCCAGGCUCAACCUGGAGUCGCCACUCGAUACUGGUAUGGCUAGAGUCCGGUAGGGGACCACGGAAUUCCUGGUGUAGCGGUGAAAUGCGCAGAUAUCAGGAGGAACACCGGUGGCGAAGGCGGUGGUCUGGGCCGGCACUGACGCUGAGGAGCGAAAGCGUGGGGAGCAAACGGG